GUCAUCCCAGAGCUGAACGGGAAGCUCACUGGCAUGGCCUUCCGUGUUCCUACCCCCAAUGUAUCCGUUGUGGAUCUGACAUGCCGCCUGGAGAAACCUGCCAAGUAUGAUGACAGCAAGAAGGUGGUGAAGCAGGCAUCUGAGGGCCCACUAAAGGGCAUCCUGGGCUACACUGAGGACCAGGUUGUCUCCUGCGACUUCAACAGCAACUCCCACUCUUCCACCUUUGAUGCUGGGGCUGGCAUUGCUCUCAACGACAACUUUGUGAAGCUCAUUUCCUGGUAUGACAAUGAAUAUGGCUACAGCAACAGGGUGGUGGACCUCAUGGCCUACAUGGCCUCCAAGGAGUAAAAAACCCUGGACCACCCAGCC
rnacentral:lncRNA from 1 species